rnacentral:rRNA from 1 species
GAUGAACGCUGGCGGCGUGCCUAAUACAUGCAAGUCGAGCGAACGGACGAGAAGCUUGCUUCUCUGAUGUUAGCGGCGGACGGGUGAGUAACACGUGGAUAACCGACCUAUAAGACUGGGAUAACUUCGGGAAACCGGAGCUAAUACCGGAUGAUAUUUUGAACCGCAUGGUUCAAAAGUGAAAGACGGUCUUGCUGUCACUUAUAGAUGGAACCGCGCUGCAUUAGCUAGUUGGUAAGGUAACGGCUUACCAAGGCAACGAUGCAUAGCCGACCUGAGAGGGUGAUCGGCCACACUGGAACUGAGACACGGUCCAGACUCCUACGGGAGGCAGCAGUAGGGAAUCUUCCGCAAUGGGCGAAAGCCUGACGGAGCAACGCCGCGUGAGUGAUGAAGGUCUUCGGAUCGUAAAACUCUGUUAUUAGGGAAGAACAUAUGUGUAAGUAACUGUGCACAUCUUGACGUUACCUAAUCAGAAAGCCACGGCUAACUACGUG